UUAAGGGCUAGCUUCAAAGGCAGAAUUUUUCCUGUAUGAGGGUUGCUUCUUGAGAAGAAGUAUUUGUAGCCUGAGAGCCUCUCACCAGUUAGACUAUUGCUGAAAAGAAACUUACCAUCUCCUUCAUGAGCACAUUGACAAUGGGAACAGUGUCAUCUUUCAUUGUCUUCCUUUGCUCAUCAUUUCUCAAGCUGAAAGACCAGUGGCAUCCUGCAGUGACCUUAGCUGCUACUUGAUACCAGAAGCUGCUGUGCAGUGCUCUAAUUUCCUCUCAAGGGAAAUUGUUGAAGAGAUGCAUGCUGCUUUUUCUUUAGUUACUCUCCAGUUCUGUGUAUCUGUGCCUACAAAUAAGGGAAGCAAUAGCAAGUGAACUUGGAGAAGAGCUACAGUUCUCUAGGCAGUAGGAAACUCAACUGAAAAUUGACAAAGCUCCUAUUGUACAACAGCUAACUUCCAGAGAUUGCAUUAUCCAGUUGAUUCAGAGAACUGGUCGCAUCUAUUUGUGAAGUAACUGAUCUCUGAAGAGCUUUCCAGGCUGUGCAAACUGGAGAUAACACCUGACUACUUCCCUGCCUGCAAGCUGAAUCUUUGCUGUUCUCUUCAUUGCAUUCCUUUGUAUGAACUUUGUCAUUUUAUGAACAUUGUCAUUGAAUGUCUUCAUAUGCCUCUGAGCAGCUGGCUGUGAUCUUGUUGGGGGGGGGGGCAUGAGGGCUGGUAAAGGAGGAAGGGCAAAAAAAACCAACCCAGGUAAGUAAGAAGCAUCUGUAGAGAACACUUUGCCACUGAGUUGCAAGAAGCCGCCUCAUACACACGGUACAGCUGCUGACCCUGGUUGCUGUGGCAGAAACAGUGCAAGACACUACUCUAAAUUAUCCUGAGAUAUACUGGGCAAUAUUAACAGUUCUUGAUGCUCAGGCAGGCAGAGACAGAAAAUAUUCAUGAUAAAGGCAUCAUCCCUCUUCACCAAUAGAUUCUUCUCCAAGUAGAUCCAAAUGUUCAAGUAAGUGCCAAAAUAAAUUUUUGUUAAUGGUCUCUGAACUUUCUUGGAGUGGGAAGAAAAGAAAGGUAGAUUUUAUUUUUUUUUUUUUUUGUGAGGGAGGACAAUGUAAUGUGGAGAAUGUCUUCCGGAUUAUCCAGUAGUCAAAGGCAGCAGCAAAGGAAGUGACUUCAGCAGUCAAGCUACACGAAGUAUGAACCACAGGUGCAGCUCAGUGUACUGAGCAAACACUUCCUGACUGCAGAAAUCACUGGGCUGGCUUUAAGUUCAGUCUUGAGAAUUUACUGGGAGGAAACUUGAAUGAGUCAGAAAAGACUCUUAGCAAUGACCUGCAUUGAUUUUUUUUUUUUUUUGGUAAUUACAGGGUACUUAACGCCACGUAGCUAUUAUGUCUCUCACAUUUCAAUCGCUUGCUUGUUUAAUGUGAUCUGUUGUGUUUGUACUGAGAGAUUAGCAGGUUAACUAAAAUGUUAAUGUGAGCUCUAGCAGAGCCCAGAAAAAAAAGGUGGAAGCUGAGUGUUAGAAACCUAUUAGCUUGAAUUUACAAAUGUUGAAGGAAGCAUCCGGUGCCUGUAGCUUGCAAAGUGCUCUGAGAAGGCAAGGAAUACUCAGAAAACCAACAUCUACAGAAAGGCUGCUGGGCAGCUAGCCAUUUCAUCUGCCAUUUCCAUCUACCUGCCAAACUCUCCUCUUCUUCCUGUGCAGAGAAAAUGUGUGGAAAUGUUCUACUGACAUAAAUCAGUAAUAGCCCAAUACAUCCUUUCUUUAUUAAUCCCUCCUCUUUUUUUUUUUUUAAAUCUGAGGACAAGAAGAAGCCCCAAAAUGAGCCGAUCCCAAAAUACCAUUCGUAGUUGGCAGCUGCUGUGAGCUCUGUGGGGAAGUGAAGAAUGGACCUGGUCUGCUGGAACAACAGAAUAGUAGACUACACCCUUGACAAGUGUGAUUCAUGUCUAUGCUGUCUUCUUCUUGAAUAGUUCCCAUGGGAUAAUUUUUGUUCUAACUCUGCAAAUUUACAUUUUUUUUGUCUGUGGUUAAUUCAGGGAGCAAUGAUCACUGAUGUCUCAGCUGUAAUUUACAAAGCUUGUAAGUACAUUGAUGCUGUGAACAAA